UGGAACAAUAGAAAUGACCUUCUUCUACUGGUCUAUGAUAGAAAGUGUCCUCACAUACUGCAUCACGGUAUGGUAUGCUGGCUUGACAGCACAG